CUUGGCGACCAUAGCGUUUUGGACCCACCUGACUCCGAGCUUUUUUUUUUUCCAAGCAGAAGACGAAAUAGCGCCGAUGGUAGUCGUGUGGGGUUUCCCCCAUGUGAGAGUAGGACAUCGCCAGGC
rnacentral:rRNA from 1 species